rnacentral:lncRNA from 1 species
GGUGAUGCAAAUGAGGGGCACACAGUAAAUGAAUAACUUUCUAGGAAACUUGGCUUCUAGACUUCAUGAAACACAAGAUAUCAUGUUUCUUUAAUGGGAAUUAAAGAGUCAUCAUAAUUGGAUCCUAAUCUGCUUCUCGUUUGAAAAAAUCCAAAUCGAGGACAAUCCUAGUUCUAUAUUCUGACAUUAUCAUCCAAAGCAGUGUCAAUGUUUCACAAUAUGAUUCAGCAUAAGCUUCUUCAGGUAUGCAGGGACAGAAGAUGGACAUUUUCAUGAGCUAGCAUGCUCAUCAUGCAACCUUUUUCUCAGCUCCUUGUGAUCUCUAUCUGAUUCAAAUCAUGAAGAGAUAAUGGACAACUAUCAUAAUAAUGGAGGGGUUUUAUUUGGACAAGAUCAAUAGAGAAAGCUUGGAGAGGAGAAGGAGGAGAAGGGGAGAUUUUUGAAGGGUUACAACACCUGCAAAAACAAGCUUUUAUAAGGGUUUGGUACUCUCUAAUACUUUAAUUUGUUUAGGUAAAAGAUGAAUUGAUUUUCGAAUCAUCAAU